AUGGAGGAGAUCAUCCCAGUAGGCCGCGAACAUGUAUCCCCGCAGACCCCACUCACGGAAGUGAUAUCAACCAGUGAAACCACCUCUGGCGUCGAUGAGCUAUGUGCAGGAGAUUUCUACAAUCUUCGCGGCGUUGAUGACGACACAAAGGCAAGUAAGAAGCGACAGCUGAGGAUGAGAGAGGAACGGAUACAAAACAGACGCUUAAAGAAGCAACGUAAAAGAAGGGAGGCUCAAGAAACCGUGGAGAGGGCCCUCAAGCUAAGAGAGGAACUGCGUCAAAACAGGCUCGAUUUCGAGGCGUCGGUAAAGGGCAGAGAGGACGAGUUCUACUACACCCCUCGGUGGAGGAGGGCAGUCCCUGUUGAUAAGGUCAAAAAACCAUUACCAGAUUUUGAAUGGAUUCCGUAUGAUUCGAUGGAUGAGUUUGGGAGAGUAUCUGAGCUCAAGCAUACAAGUUGGAGAGUUGAGGAACUCACAUUACAACUGGCUAAGUCUAUUGUCGGACUUGAGUCAUAUUCAGGAAACAAGCAUCUUUUCUCUUGCUCCGGAACUAUUGUCGAGUAUCUCAUGGGUACUGGUUAUGUGGUAACAUCUGCAAGUUUAGUUAAAUGGCCACACCAAGAUAAGCAGGCUGAUCAACUUAAGAUCGAUGUACAUUUACCAAGUGGAGAAGUACUCAAGGGCUCAGUCUCAAAUGUUGAUUUUUCUUACAACAUAUGUGUGGUUGAAGUCCCUUCAACUUUGCAGCUGCCAACGAAAAGAUUCAGUGCUGACACUAGAAUUUUCAAUUUUUAUGAGCGCCAUCCAAAAGAUGUUGUAGCUGUAGGCCGUCUUUGUAAGCCUUGGAGCUUGAACGCUGCUUUGGGGAAACUGGUUCCAAAAAGAAGCCAGUUUGAUUGUGAAGAGCUUCUUGUUUCAUCUUGCAGGAUUUCAAAGAGAGGUGUUGGGGGUCCUCUGAUGGAUUUUGAUGGAAAUAUCAUCGGCAUGAACUUCUAUGACAAGAAAGAGACCCCUUUCCUUCCAGGUUUCAUUGUGUUGAAGUGUUUGCAGCACUUCAAUGAUUUCAAGAAGGUCAUACGACCAUUGCAUGGACUGCGAGUUAGAACUCUUCACGAAGAUGAACAGCUUACUGCACUUGAAAAGAUACAUCAUGGGUUCCCUGAGGUCCGUGGUGUGAUCGUGGAGAAGGUUGAAGUACCUUCAGCUGAACAUUCUGAGAUAAAGGUCGGGGAUAUCAUCACUCAUGUUAAUGAUGUACCUUUCUCCAGCGCUGCAGAGCUGGGGGGCAUACUGCUGGAUACGUGCGCUCAGCACAUGCUGCAGAGACAGAAAUUGGACCCAACAAAAGGCGGAAACCAGAUGGAAACAGUGAUAAGCCUCAAGUUUGAUGUGAAAACAGUGAGAGGUCGCAGAUCUGAAGCCACAACCAGAACAAUCGACGUCAGCAGGUUUAAUCCUACUGGUGGAUUCAACAGGUGGCCGCUUGGGAGACUUUAUUUUAUUCGGCGGGUUGAGAACGGAACCCUUUUCACCGAAAAGCACCGUGGCUAA
rnacentral:rRNA from 1 species